GAUGAACGCUGGCGGCGUGCCUAAUACAUGCAAGUCGAGCGAACGGACGAGAAGCUUGCUUCUCUGAUGUUAGCGGCGGACGGGUGAGUAACACGUGGAUAACCUACCUAUAAGACUGGGAUAACUUCGGGAAACCGGAGCUAAUACCGGAUAAUAUUUUGAGCCGCAUGGUUCAAAAGUGAAAGACGGUCUUGCUGUCACUUAUAGAUGGAUCCGCGCUGCAUUAGCUAGUUGGUAAGGUAACGGCUUACCAAGGCAACGAUGCAUAGCCGACCUGAGAGGGUGAUCGGCCACACUGGAACUGAGACACGGUACAGACUCCUACGGGAGGCAGCAGUAGGGAAUCUUCCGCAAUGGGCGAAAGCCUGACGGAGCAACGCCGCGUGAGUGAUGAAGGUCUUCGGAUCGUAAAACUCUGUUAUUAGGGAAGAACAUAUGUGUAAGUAACUGUGCACAUCUUGACGGUACCUAAUCAGAAAGCCACGGCUAACUACGUG
rnacentral:rRNA from 1 species